rnacentral:misc_RNA from 1 species
AACGCACAUUGCGCUCCCUGGUACUCCGGGGAGCAUGCCCGUUUCAGAAUCAUUAAAAAUCUCACAACAUUCAAGUGUGGCCUAGUGCAAUACUUGGACACGUGGAUUUUGGGCGGUUUGCACUUUAGCAAUCGUCUGAAAAUGAUGUAUGUGCUCCAAUUGCUCGAUUGAUUGGUUCUCUAAAGUGCAACAGAUUUAUCUAUUACUCUUUAGGUUUCAAUUAAUCAGUGUGGUAGUAUGUAUGACACCAAAUAACAGAUGUCUUGUUUUGGCAGGGCUUCUGAUAACUUGGUCUGAAAUCGGGCAAGAAAACCCGCUGAACUUAA